rnacentral:rRNA from 1 species
UACGUAGGGUGCAAGCGUUAAUCGGAAUUACUGGGCGUAAAGCGUGCGCAGGCGGUGAUGUAAGACAGUUGUGAAAUCCCCGGGCUCAACCUGGGAACUGCAUCUGUGACUGCAUUGCUGGAGUGCGGCAGAGGGGGAUGGAAUUCCGCGUGUAGCAGUGAAAUGCGUAGAUAUGCGGAGGAACACCGAUGGCGAAGGCAGCCCCCUGGGUCGACACUGACGCUCAGGCACGAAAGCGUGGGGAGCAAACAGG